CUGGCAGCUCAGCAGAAGGAACUGGCUGCCACACCGCGCGGGGACAGGCGCAUCGCUGGGUUGGGCUGGCUACAAUGGCCCUCUGGCUGCCCACCAAGAAGGAGAAGUAUGGAGUUGCUUUGUGGAACUUUUCGGGCACGAACGAGCAUCACCUGCCGCUGCAGAUCGGGGACACAGUGCACAUCCUACAGGCCUUGGAGGGCUGGUACAGAGGGUACUCGCUCCGGAACAGAGCCACCUGGGGCACAUUCCCUGUCGCACUGAUCCACCUGAAGGGCGCCCAUGUGAAGCAGAAGGGGGCGGAGGAGAACAUUGUGUCUGCGGAGAUGCCGAUGGUGCAGGAGAUCACCACCACGCUGCGGGAGUGGGCCACCAUCUGGAAGCAGCUCUAUGUGAUGGGGCAGAAAGAGCGGUACGGGCAGGUCAGGAGGAUGAUGUGUGAGCUGAUGGAGAGACGCUCGCAGCUGCUCUCUGGGACACUCCCCAAGGAUGAACUCCUGGAGCUCAAGAAGGAGGUGACCAGCAAGAUCGACUACGGGAACAAGAUCCUGGAGCUAGACCUGGUUGUGCGUGAUGAGAACGGGAACAUUCUGGACCCCGACAGAACCAGCGUCAUCAGCCUCUUCCAGGCUCACAAACAGGCCACGAGUAUGAUCAGUGAGCGCAUCCAGGAAGAGAUGUGCUCCCAGUACAGUGAGCUGGGCUGCAAUGCCCGCCUGGCCUCGCCCUCCCACAACCUCUACCUCUGCGUCCGCAAUUUCGUCUGCAACAUCGGGGAGGAGGCACAGCUCUUCACGGCACUCUACGACCCCGGCCAGCAGAAGAUGAUCAGCGAGAACUAUCUGAUCCGCUGGGCCAGCACGGGGGUCCCGCAGGACAUCGAGUUGCUCAACAACCUGAAAGCCAUCUUCACGGACCUGGGCAGCAUGGACUUGAAACGAGAGAGGCUCUUCCUGGUGUGUCAGAUUGUGCGGGUGGGGCGCAUGGACCUGAAGGAGACCUACACGCGGAAACUGAGCACUGGCCUCAGACGGCCCUUUGGCGUCUCGGUGAUGGACAUUACAGAUAUCGUCAAGGGAAAAUGUGAGAGUGAUGAGGACAAGCAGUACUUCAUUCCUGUGCACCUGGUAGCUGCUGAGAAUGAUUUCCUUCACAACAUGAUAAAGAAAGCAGUGGAGGGGAAGGAAAUCAGCCACAAAGGACAAGGGUUCUGGGUGUCUCUGAAAAUGCUGUGGGGAGACCUGAAUCAGGUGCGGAAAGAUCAUCCUCACUUGGUGGACCGCAGCACAGUUGUGGUCCGCAAGUUAGGCUUCCCAGAGAUUAUCAUGCCAGGGGACAUCAGGAGCGACAUUUACCUCACAUUGGUGCAGGGUGAGUUUGACAAGGGGAACAAGAAGACGCAGAAGAACGUGGAGGUGACAGUGUGUGUCUGUGAUGAGACUGGGAACAUGAUGCAGAAUGUGAUUUUCCCGGGUGCUGGUGACAAGCCUUCAAGUGAAUAUCGUUCUGUGGUCUAUUACCAGCAGCGGCAACAGCGGUGGAUGGAGACAAUGAAGAUUGCUGUUCCCAUUGAGGAUGUCCACAGGACCCAUCUGAGAUUCACCUUCAGGCACCGCUCUUCCAGUGACUCUAAGGACAAAAAUGAAAGAAUUUUCUCCAUGGCCUUUGUGAAGCUGAUGAGACCUGAUGGUACAACCCUGCAUGACGGUGAACAUGACCUCAUUCUAUAUAAGGGUGACAUCAGGAAAUUGGAGGAUGCCAGCUCUUACCUGAAUCUGCCUUUUACGAGAAGUCUGUUAGAGUCAAAGACCCUUUCUGGUUCCUCAUUCCGAGUGAGCGGUGGCAUGGCUGGUAUGGGCAUAUCUUCCCGGGACAGCUUCCAAAUCUCCACCCUCGUCUGCUCCACCAAACUAACUCAGAAUGUUGACCUGCUGGGGCUGUUGAAGUGGAGGUCGAAGCCCAACCUCCUGGCUGGAAACCUGCAGAAGCUAAUGAAGGUGGAUGGAGGAGAAGUCAUCAAGUUCCUUCAGGACACCCUGGAUGCCUUGUUCUCAAUUAUGAUGGAGAAUGCAGCCACCGAUGUCUAUGAUACUCUCAUCUUUGAUGCCCUAGUUUUCAUUGUGGGGCUCAUUGCUGACAGGAAGUUCCACCACUUCAAUGCUGUUCUGGAGGCCUAUAUCCAGCAGCACUUCAGUGCCACACUGGCCUACAAGAAGCUGAUCUCAGUGCUGACGCAGUAUGUGGAUUCAGCCAGACGAGGGGAGCCCUGUGAUGCGCUCUUACGCACCUUCAAAGCCUUGGAGUAUAUCUUCAAAUUCAUUGUCCGCUCCAGACACCUCUUUGCCCAACUCUACGAAGGGAAAGAAAAAGAAGAAUUCCAGGCAUCGUUGCAGCAAUUCUUCCUGACUGUCAAUCAGCUGAUGAAAUCCACCCCGGAGGGUACAAUCAUGGUGUCCCAGGGAGCUGCUCUGAAGUACCUGCCUUCGAUCCUGGAAGACGUGUUUCAGAUCUUCGACUCCUCUGUGCUGGGGUGCUUGCUGCAGGAUUUCUUUGAGAACCUGUCCCCUCUGCACCUGCUGAAGCAGAAGCUGCAGUCCCUGACAGACAUAGUCAACAGCAAGAUCUUCCAGUCCUAUGUGUGUCGAGAGAUGCUGCUGCAUACUACAAUCCCCAUCCUCCGGGAGCUGAUUGAGAAGGGAGAGGAGGAGGAGGCUUGCAUUGAGCUGCUCAGCAGUAUCCUGGAGGUGUUGUACAAAGCCCAGAAGAGAGCAGAAGAGCGGCUGACACGUCGGAGUGGAGAAGAGAGACAGCACAGGGAGGACUCUGAGCUGAGGAAGGUGAAGGGGCACGUGCAGAUGAUUAUGGAGCAGCUGCUGCGCACCGUCAUUCGCAGGGUGAUUGUCCUUGACCAGGAGCAUGACCUAAGAAGUCACUACGUGGCCUGCAUGGCAGCCAUCCUGAACCAGAUGGAUGAGGCCCAUUACAGCUCCUACAUCCAGGCCUUCUCUGCCCGGCCUGACCUGAUGGACUUUCUCAUGGAGACCUUCAUCCUGUUCAAGGAUCUGAUUGGCAAGACUGUGUAUCCCUCCGACUGGAUGGUGAUGAACAUGGUGCAGAACCGGGAGUUUCUCCGAGCCAUCAACCAGUUUGCUGACAUCUUGACCCAGAUGUUCCUGAGCAGCAGCAGCUUGGAACUGCAGCUUUGGAACAAUUAUUUCCACCUGGCAGUUGCCUUCCUCACCCAGGAUUCCCUGCAGCUGGAGAACUUCUCCCAGGCUAAGCGCACGACCAUCCUUGCCAAGUACGGAGACAUGAGAGCCACAAUUGGAGCUGCCAUCCGGGACAUGUGGUACAACCUAGGCCAUCACAAGAUUCAGUUUAUCCCUGGCAUGGUGGGCCCCAUCCUGGAGAUGACGCUGGUGCCUGAGCUGGAGCUGCGUAAAUCCACCAUCCCCAUCUUCUUCGACAUGAUGCUGUGCGAGUACCAGCUGACCAAGACCUUCGGCAUGUUCGAGGACGAGAUCCUGCACAAGCUGGACAGCGAAGUGGAGGGAGGCCGUGGGGACGAGCAGUACAAGCAGCUGUUCCAGAGCAUCCUCCUCAGCUGCUGCAGGAAUCACCCUGAGCUGGCGAAGCCCAGUGAGAACUUCGUGGCCCUGGUCACGGGCCUCCUGGAGCGGCUGCUGGACUAUCGCACUGUCAUGAACGACGAGAACAAGACCUACAGCAUGAGUUGCACCGUCAACCUGCUGAACUUCUACAAGGAGAUUGACCGCCGGGCCAUGUACAUCAGGUACCUGUACAAGCUCAAGGACCUGCACGUCAGCUACGAAAACUACACGGAGGCGGCCUACACCCUGCUGCUGCACGCGCGGCUCCUGAAGUGGUCAGACGAGCCGAACACGGCCCCCAUGCAGGGCUCCCAUAGCCAGAGCCUGCACACUCAGCGCCAGCUGAAGGAGGCACUCUACAACCAGAUCAUCCACUACUUCGACCAGGGCAAGAUGUGGGAGGAGGCAAUUCACAUCUGCAAGGAGCUGGCCGAGCAGUACGAGAGUGAGGUCUUUGAGUACGAAAUGCUGAGUGACAUCCUGCAGCGGGAGGCAAAGUUCUAUGAGAACAUCUUGAAGGUGCUGCGGCCCAACCCAGACUACUUCGCCGUGGGCUACUACGGGCAGGGCUUCCCCACGUUCCUGCGGAACAAGGUUUUCAUUUACCGAGGCAAGGAGUAUGAGCGCCGGGAGGACUUUGAGAUGCGGCUGUUAACCCCCUUCCCCUACGCUGAGAAGCUGCAGACCACGUCCCCGCCAGAGCAGGACGUCACCGACUCGCCGGGCCAGUAUAUCCAGUGCUUCACCGUGCAGCCCGUGGAGGAGGCCAGGGACCGAUUCAGGGGAAGGAAUGUCCCCGAGCAGAUCGUCAAUUUCUAUAAAGCCAACAACAUCCAGCACUUCAGCUACUCACGACCCUUCAGGAAAGGCCCAAAGGACCCUGACAACGAGUUUGCGACCAUGUGGAUCGAGAGAACGACCUUCGUGACAGCCUAUCCACUGCCUGGCAUCCUGCGCUGGUUUAUGGUCACAGCCACCACCCGGACCAUCAUCAGCCCCCUGGAAAAUGCCAUUGAGACCAUGAAGAAAACCAAUGAGAAAAUCCUGACCGAGAUCAACCGGCACCACAGCGAGCCCAGCCUGCCUGUCAACCCGCUCUCCAUGCUGCUCAACGGCAUCGUGGAUCCAGCUGUCAUGGGUGGCUUCGCCAAGUAUGAGACGGCAUUUUUCCAGGAGGUCUACCUGACGGAGCACCCCGAGGACCGGGCCAGUAUUGAGAAGCUGCAGGAUCUGAUCGCCUGGCAGAUUCCGCUCUUGGCAGAGGGGAUUCGAAUCCACGGCAGGAAGGUGACUGAGGACCUCAGGCCCUUCCACGAGCGCAUGGAGCAGUGCUUCGUGCAGCUGCGAGCCAAGGUGGAGAGCCAGUAUGGCCUGCGGGAGCUGCCCUUCCUGGAGGAGAGGCGCAGAGGCCGCUCCCACUCCAAGGUGUGGGGCCCAGAGACAGAGCAGCCCAGCCGCCCGCAUCGAGACAGCACAGAGCCCCCUCCCUCCAGGAAGUUGGAGCCCUGUGCUCCUGAGCAUCCCCCCGAGGCCGAGGAGCGGAAGAGCGCGCGCCGGGAGAAUCGUGGCAGCACCUUCUUUGGGUACCGGCGGCAGGAGCAGCGCCAGUCCAUCUUGGAGACCCCGGAGCCCAAGGAGGAGAAGUGGAGACUCUCCUGGAAUGUGACUGAGAGUUGCCUGGCUGGUGCCGAGGGAAAACAGCCACCCCCGCAGAGAGAUGCCAGCGCUGCCUCCCCCAGUGCAACAGGUACAGGCACCCCUGCAGUGUGGCAGGGGCAGCAGGGUCCCCCCGGGGCUUUGCAGGGCAGGUGAAGAGCGCCAGCAAGGCCCCCCCACUGCCCCGCAAAAUCAGCUCCAGCGUGUACGAGGCCUUCAUGGAGCAAAGCACCGGGCCCAACAGUGGGAAGCAGCUGACAGUGGAUGGAAGUAAAGGACUGAAAUCACCGCCCCCGCCACCCCCCAAAUCCAAGCGCAUGACCCAGAUCUGAUGAAGGCAUUUGCUGGCUGCUUGGUUUGGCUCUCACCCCUCUGUGCUCUCCCUGCUCAUCCCUCUCCCCGCACACGCUGGCUGAGCCCUGGUCUAGACUCAUUCAUCUUCCCUAUGGCAGCCUGAGCAUCCCACACACACCCCGCCCCCUGGUUCCUGUGUGCUUGGAAUGCAGAAGCCCCAGAUUGCUCAGCUUGCCUCUCACAGGAGGCACCAGCCUAGGGCUCAUUUGCUCCCCCUGAGGAAGGUGUAGGAAACAUUGCAUCUAGCAAAUCUGCCCCAUGACCGGCUGCCCCAGCCCCAGGGGGCAGCUGCAGCCCUGAAGCAGGGCUCUGGCUCCCUUCCCACUCUCCUUUUCCAACGAACCAUUUGUGCUCUAGAUAGUCUCGUUCUCUGUGUAAAGGCCCAGCCCCGUAGCCAUCCUGGGGCAGAGUGCUCCACAGGCGAAUGCAAUGCUGCCUGGGGAAUAUAUUUCCUUUGAAUUGCCCCUAUUUAGUUCUACGGCCUGUCCCUUUGCUGUGAGAACGGGGGCUCCCCCAGUUGCAGCCCAGUUAGUGUUUGAUAGACUAGUGCACUCACUCAGCAAGAACAAUCCCCUGUGGGUGGGGCUGGAUGGCCCUUGAGCACUGGCUGGUCACAGAGCAGCACUGGAAUAGGCUCUGUAUUGGCCACCAGCUGCUCCCAGCUGUUGCGACCCCCGCCCCCCCCUCGAGCUGCGGUGCAGUCAGCUGCCUGCAUCACCUCUGGGGCCCUUCCACAGCAACCACAGCUCAGGGCAUCUGAGGCCAUUUCCCAUCGCCUGGGCGCAGCAGGCCCCCCGCACCCCUGAUUGUAGGGUGCCUCCCCACAUUGGACUCAACGAUGAGGCCUAGCCCACAGGCCUGGCAUGGUGUGAACAUCCCCUGCUGUUCAGCACUGCCGGGGCUUCUGCUGACCCCAGCCCCAGAGUGGGGCAGCGGCAGGAGCCGGGCUGCUGUGCGCUGCACUCGGGUCCCCCCACCAGGCUGCAGCAUGACGAGAGGAAGCCAGACAGGCUUGUGCGUCCCCACCAUGGGCACCGCACCAGCCGAGCCACCCUCGGGGCAGGGCAGCCCCAGGAUUUGUGAUCUGCCCAGUUCCUCACAGCAGCUCCUUGCCCACCCCAAGCCAGCCAGGCCCUGCUGAUUUCCCAGCGCGUCCCCUCCGCACUGCUGGGUUUUGUGUUCCUGGGGCCAUGGGAUGCCUGCCAAUAAAGAGACUAAAGCCUCCA